AAAACUGACAGCAUCACCGGGGUCGUUUUGUUUGGGUGCUGAGUGCAGAGAAUCAUCAACAAGUUCAAGUCAAGUCAAUCUGUACACGGAUUGAGCUCAAAAUAUUACCUCCACUUCAUCUGGCCUAUAGUAUCUACCAUUGGUACUCCUUGAACCAGGUACACCAUGGUUAAAAGGGCAUUCAGCACGUGGCAAAUCCUGCGCUAUCCUAUCGUGUUUGGUGCCUGCCUGGCUGCCUACUUCACAGCGUUCUCCUACAGGAAGACGUACUUCCAGGAGGAAAUUGAUCAGGUGAAGGAGAAGAAUGCGGUACAGAGCCAGCUGAGUGCUGCGAGGAUUGAAGCUGCCACACAACAGGCUCGGAUUGAGAGGACACAGAAACUGAACGCCAACAAGACUUGAACCUUGACCACUUGCUCGACUUUGAAACUUUUAUGUGUGUCUGGUAGUGUUAUUAGAAUGCUUUGUCAUGAAAAUUGCUAUUGAUCAGAAACAUUAGUUUAUUACACAACGGAAGUUUCUUUUUGAAAGAAAGAAAUAAUCUGUGAUUUAUGCAAUUGAUUUCUUUAAGAUUAAUUGCAGGUGUGAUUAAAAGGAACACUUUGUAAUUAUGACGAUCUUACUGCUUCCUAAAUUUCUCCCUACAAGAUGUUGACAUGAAUACACAGUUUGUAGGCCUAGGUCUAUAAUUAUAACAACAGAUCAGUCAUUUACAAAGGACUUGUGGGAAAUAUACAUGUAUGUAUAUAUAUAUGUGAAGCUUUGAAAUGUUGGUGAAAGAACCAUCAGUAGAUUGUGUUUAACUGUCAUCAUCAUCAUUGCCUUUCUCACCCUGCACCAGGGUAUAGGCCACGGACAAACACUUUCCACCUUUCUCCAUCCUGGGCUAGCCUCUUGAUGUUAUUCCAUGUCUUCCCACUUUUCUGUAGGCCUACAUCGAUUUCUGUGAUUCUUCUCCAAGUUUCACUUGUUAUUUUACUGUGACGCAUAAUUACUGCCUCACGACGAAUAUUGGUUGUGUUUUAGUUUGCCUCACAAUUUACAUAUAUUGGCUGCGUUAUUGAGGAUGAGAAGUCAGAGCAUCCAGGAACUGAGUACUGGCCAUUUUCGUUAUUAUAUACAGUCGAGCUUAGAUAUAAUUCAAACACGCCGGGGAUUGAUAAAUUUGUUUUGACAUAUCCCUAAUUUGAGUAAACCGAUAAUAAAAAAAUUAAAAGAGAUGUCAGUUGAGAAAAAGCAAAUUAUACGAGCUGUCGAUGAUUUUGAGUUUUCUGUGUUUGUGUAAUCUGUGCCCAAAUGUAUUACAUUGUACCUGCUAGUGGUAUAUACUGUAUUACCGGCACCACCGCAUUUUUGUUGUUGUCUUUUUUAGAAAGAUUUAUUUUUUUCUCUCUGGUCAAAAUAUUUUUGCAUGUAGAACAAAUUAUCACCACAGUCAAUGUUAUUUUGUAAGUUUUCCUCAGUUUUAUCAGAGUAUUGGUGAAAGUGGUACAAAACUUUGUACAGAUGUGUAUUGAUGUAAUAUUUAAAGUUGAUUUAUUGGUAAACUUGUAUGCAGGACACAUUAUUGCAAGAUAUAUCGUGUAGAAUUACAUCAUUGCCUGAUACCGAUACAUGUAGAAUUGCACCGAUUUGAGAACUUUCUUAAAAGCGUGGUUUGUAUUUUGCUUGUAAUUCCAAAAGAGCGUAAACUACAAAGAAUAUUAUUAUUGUCAUAUUAUACAAUGCAGCCUCUCUAUAACGACCUUCGAUAUAACAACAUCCUCUGUAAAGCGACAUGGUGCCCAAGUCCCAAUAUUAUAUAUCAUUAGUAAGUAAUAUUUUUGGUUGCCUCUCUAUAACGACAUUUUUUUCUGGUCCUAAUGAUGUCGUUAUGAGGCUGCACUGUACAAUAUAACACUCAAUGAUUCAUCACAUCAAGAGUUUAACUGAAAAAUGUAUUGUUACACUUUACAAAAAUAUACAUUGUAUAAAUACAUAGUAGCUAUUUUUGUAUUCUCACCUAACUACUUCUUUGUAAUCUGUGUGAGGUGAAAAGUAAUAAGUGGCCUUAAAUUGUAGAUCUUGUCUUGGCACCUUUUUCAGCUCAAUUUUAAGCUAAGUGAGUUAACAAAUGUGUGUACAUCAGAGACGGUGAGCUGUGUGUUAAGUGUGUACUUCAGAGAAGGUGUGCUGUGUGUUAAGCGUGUACAUCAGAGAAGGUGUGCUGUCUGUGUGUACAUCAGAGAAGGUUCGCUGUGUCUGAGAGGGUGUGCUGUGUGUAGGUAUGUUGUGUGUACAUCAGAUAUGCUUUGCUGUGUGUACUACAGAAAGUACAUAAAAUGCAUCUCUGUAAGAGUAAGAAGGUGUGCUGUGAUUUGAUGAUUAAAAUUUCAUUUGAGAAUGAAA